rnacentral:rRNA from 1 species
CAGCAGCCACGGGAAUACGAAGGGGGCUAGCGUUGUUCGGAUUUACUGGGCGUAAAGCGCACGUAGGCGGAUCGAUCAGUCAGGGGUGAAAUCCCAGAGCUCAACUCUGGAACUGCCUUUGAUACUGUCGAUCUGGAGUAUGGAAGAGGAAAGUGGAAUUCCUAGUGUAGCGGUGAAAUGCGUAGAUAUUCGGAAGAACACCAGUGGCGAAGGCGGCCCGCUGGACAUGUAUUGACGCUGAGGUGCGAAAGCGUGGGGAGCAAACAGGAUUAGAUACCCCCGUAGUCCUGUCUCUUAUACA